rnacentral:tRNA from 1 species
GGGGAUGUAGCAGGAAGGUCAAGCUACUGCUUUGCAUGCUUGAGGUCCUGGGCUCGAUUCCCGGCAUCUCCA